rnacentral:rRNA from 1 species
GACGAACGCUGGCGGCGUGCUUAACACAUGCAAGUCGAACGGAAAGGCCCUGCUUUUGUGGGGUGCUCGAGUGGCGAACGGGUGAGUAACACGUGAGUAACCUGCCCUUGACUUUGGGAUAACUUCAGGAAACUGGGGCUAAUACCGGAUAGGAGCUCCUGCUGCAUGGUGGGGGUUGGAAAGUUUCGGCGGUUGGGGAUGGACUCGCGGCUUAUCAGCUUGUUGGUGGGGUAGUGGCUUACCAAGGCUUUGACGGGUAGCCGGCCUGAGAGGGUGACCGGCCACAUGGGGACUGAGAUACGGCCCAGACUCCUACGGGAGGCAGUAGUGGGGAAUAUUGCACAAUGGGCGGAAGCCUGAUGCAGCAACGCCGCGUGCGGGAUGACGGCCUUCGGGUUGUAAACCGCUUUCGCCUGUGACGAAGCGUGAGUGACGGUAAUGGGUAAAGAAGCACCGGCUAACUACGUG